rnacentral:rRNA from 1 species
ACGCACGCUGGCGGCGUGCCUAAUACAUGCAAGUCGCACGAGAGCGACCGGUGCUUGCACUGGUCAAUCUAGUGGCGAACGGGUGAGUAACACGUGGGUAACCUGCCCAUCAGAGGGGGAUAACAUCCGGAAACGGAUGCUAAAACCGCAUAGGUCUUCGAGCCGCAUGGCUUGAAGAGGAAAAGAGGCGCAAGCUUCUGCUGAUGGAUGGACCCGCGGUGCAUUAGCUAGUUGGUGAGGUAACGGCUCACCAAGGCCGUGAUGCAUAGCCGACCUGAGAGGGUGAUCGGCCACAUUGGGACUGAGACACGGCCCAAACUCCUACGGGAGGCAGCAGUAGGGAAUCUUCCGCAAUGGACGCAAGUCUGACGGAGCAACGCCGCGUGAGUGAAGAAGGUUUUCGGAUCGUAAAACUCUGUUGUUAGAGAAGAACAAGUGCUAGAGUAACUGUUAGCGCCUUGACGGUAUCUAACCAGAAAGCCACGGCUAACUACGUG